rnacentral:piRNA from 1 species
UGCACUGCCCAUGGUGGGGGCUUGUU